AUCCAGCUGAUGAGUCCCCAACAUGACGAAAUGCGCGUCCUGGAU
rfam:Schistosoma curassoni strain Dakar, Senegal genome assembly, scaffold: SCTD_scaffold0007344